rnacentral:sRNA from 1 species
AGGGAUCUACCCUGACUACCCGUGCCAACCUUUGGCCCCUUGGGCCUUUCUUUUUCGCAUCCUCCAAAGAAAGUUUCUCUACAAUAAUUGGAGUUGGUGUUGGAGCUGGAGCCUACAUCCUGGCGAGAUAUGCUGUAAGAAAUAAAAAGCCCAGAUGAGGGAAAGGAGGGUCCAGAUUGAUUAGAAUACUGUUUAUUAGUGCUGUUUGGGGGAGGAAGUGGGCACUAGGUGGGGAGUCAGGCCCUGUGGGAGUCCAGGAGUGGGUAGAACUUAGCGGGGAGGGGAUAAGGCCAUGCCCUGUUUCUCAUUUCCUUCUUUCUGCUGUUCCUCAGCUUAACCACCCGGACACUGUUGAAGGUCUUGUCCUCAUCAACAUCGAUCCCAAUGCCAAGGGUUGGAUGGAUUGGGCAGCCCACAAGGUUUGGAGGGGCGUGUGUGCUGAGACCUAGGGUUGGGGAUCCCCUCGUAUGGAUCCAGUUAGGCUGUCUACCAGAGCCUAACUGGAUGGACUCCGAACUUCAAGGAGGGAGUAAAGGGGCAGGAAAGUGAAGC